AGUGAACGCUGGCGGUAGGCCUAACACAUGCAAGUCGAACGGCAGCACAGUAAGAGCUUGCUCUUACGGGUGGCGAGUGGCGGACGGGUGAGGAAUACAUUGGAAUCUACUUUUUCGUGGGGGAUAACGUAGGGAAACUUACGCUAAUACCGCAUACGACCUACGGGUGAAAGCAGGGGAUCUUCGGACCUUGCGCGAUUGAAUGAGCCGAUGUCGGAUUAGCUAGUUGGCGGGGUAAAGGCCCACCAAGGCGACGAUCCGUAGCUGGUCUGAGAGGAUGAUCAGCCACACUGGAACUGAGACACGGUCCAGACUCCUACGGGAGGCAGCAGUGGGGAAUAUUGGACAAUGGGCGCAAGCCUGAUCCAGCCAUACCGCGUGGGUGAAGAAGGCCUUCGGGUUGUAAAGCCCUUUUGUUGGGAAAGAAAAGCAGCAGGUUAAUACCCCGCUGUUCUGACGGUACCCAAAGAAGAAGCACCGGCUAACUUCGU
rnacentral:rRNA from 1 species